rnacentral:rRNA from 1 species
AUUGAACGCUGGAGGCAGGCCUAACACAUGCAAGUCAAAAGAGUGGCGGACGGGUGAGUAAUGUCUGGAAAACUGCCUGAUGGAGGGGGAUAACUACUGGAAACGGUAGAUAAUACCGCAUACCAUCAGAUGUGCCCAUAUGGGAUUCGCUGGUUGGUGGUGUAACAGCUCACCAAGGCGACGAUCCCUAGCUGGUCUGAUCGGAUGACCAGCCACACUGGAACUGAGACACGGUCCAGACUCCUACGGGAGGCAGCAGUGGGGAAUAUUGCACAAGGGGCGCAAGCCUGAUGCAGCCAUGCCGCGUGUAUGAAGAAGGCCGUCGGGUUGUAAAGUACUUUCAGCGGGGAGGCGUUACCCGCAGAAGAAGCACCGGCUAACUCCGUGCCAGCCGCCGCGGUAAUUC